UACGGAGGAUGCAAGCGUUAUCCGGAAUGAUUGGGCGUAAAGGGUCCGCAGGUUGCAAUAUAAGUCUGCUGUUAAAGAGUGAGGCUCAACCUCAUAAGAGCAGUGGAAACUACAUAGCUAGAGUACGUUCGGGGCAGAGGGAAUUCCUGGUGUAGCGGUGAAAUGCGUAGAUAUCAGGAAGAACACCGGUGGCGAAAGCGCUCUGCUAGGCCGUAACUGACACUGAGGGACGAAAGCUAGGGGAGCGAAUGGG
rnacentral:rRNA from 1 species